AAGUCGCGUCCUCUAGUUUGUGAACCGCUUACUAAAUGACGAUUCAGGACAAUGACCCAAAACACACCUCCAGGCUGUGUAAGGGCUAUUUGACCAAGGGGAGUGAUGGAGUGCUGCAUCAGAUGACCUGGCAUCCACAAUCACCUGACAUCAACCCAAUUGAGAUGGUUUGAGAUGAGUUUGACCGGAGAGGGAAGGAAAAGCAGCCAACAAGUGCCCAGCACAUGCGGGAACUCCUGUUGAAAAAGCAUUCCAGGUGAAGCUGAUUGAGAGAAUGCCAAGAGUGUGCAAAGCUGUCAUCAAGGAUUAUGAUGGCUACUUUGAAGAAUCUCAAAUAUAAUAUAUAUUAUGAUUUGUUUAA